GGAUUGUGGCUUAGCAGUAGAGCGCUCGCCUAGUAUGUGUGAGGCCCUGGGUUCAAUCCUUAGCACCA
rnacentral:tRNA from 1 species